UUGUUUAAAUGACUAAAUAUAUCAGCAGCUGAAAUUUAUUCCACAUCAGAAGCAUCGUUGUCAGAAAGAUGAUAGUUACUUCCCUUCACCCGAAUAUAUUCACUGUAUCUCCCUUCAUCAGAAUCUGAAGCGCCACAUGUACAUAGCCUGUUGUCAAAGAGUGAUUCAAUUUCCUCUAAUUUUUUCCCUUUGGUCUCAGGAAGACAGCCAUAGAUGAAAAGGAGUCCCACGGCAGCGAAUCCAGCAUAAAGGAAGAAGGCUCCUGCAAUGGAAAAUAAUAUAAUGUAAGCUCCAUGAGGUCAGAGAAUUUUGUUUUGCUGUAAGACUAUGCAUGUCAAUGCAGCACAACCACAAAGACAUAAUUACUACCUGGUUGUGUUUUCCAAGUGUCAAUUCAGCAAGCCAAGAUGGAUGAGAUAUAUGAGUAUGUGACUUGAGCAUGUUCUUACAUAUUUCCAAGAUGGCCUUUCCUUAUAUAGUCCAAUUCCCAAUUUAAAUAUAAGAACCUAUGCUUUCACUUUCGAUGGAUGGAAACAACUAACUAUAAUGGAGUCCUUGCCUAAUUUUAGGCCUUUGGUCCAGACCAUCCUGUAUAUGAGAUGGGGGAAGGAAGAUGACAAACUAAUGGGACAAAGGCUGGAGAAAGGAUAUCAGAUUGGGAGUUGGAAAAUCUGGAUUUCAAUCUUGCUAUGUGACUUCUAAAUAGUCAUUUAACCUCUUCUCUGGCCCUCAGUUUCCUGAUUCAGCAAAAUAAGAUGGUUUCUCAGCUAUGAUUUAAGUUUAUAAUUCUAUAAAUUUUACAACCCAAAUCAGGACCAGGUUUUGGAGAGAUGGUUAUGAGAUGCUUGAGAGAGAGACAUCCUCUUCUGUUUCAGUAGCAAAAGUGGUCUUAAGGGCAGAGUCUAUGGCUUGUUUGUCUGUGGGUUCCCUAGUACAGAGCCUGACACACUGGAGCGUCUAGAGAAUGAAUGUGCUCUUGUUGACUGCCAGAUGGAAUAUAUUGAGUAACAGAUCUGAAAUAAAGGGCUAAACUAGACAACAUAAAGCUUGACUUUCAAAUAUGUCUUUAAGAUGAAUAGCAUAGCAAUUAAAGAACUGAAUUAACAUUUCUCAGUUCUGCUGAAUCAUUACAGAAUAGGAAAGACAUUAUUAAGACUACAUUCUUAAAGACAUACGUAUAAAUAACCAUUUCAGGAAUAUACACAGAAACAUUUCUUGGGAAGGCUCAAGGAAAACUACAGAGGAAAAAUGCUGCUCAAUUGCCACCCAAAAGAAUCUGCUCUCUGGAAUGAGGAGCCGUGAGAAAACAGAAGGGAAAUAGAGAUAAAUUAUGAGAAAUUAGAAAAAAUAUUAAAGAGUUGACUAAAUCAAGACAUAGUUUGUUAGAUUAAGUCAUCAGAAGCCAUACAAUCUUAAGGAGCUGGACUUGUAUAAAUCAAAUUCUCUUUAAUAAAAACACAACUCUAUUUACAAA